rnacentral:lncRNA from 1 species
UAAUGAUAGUAUUACCUAGUACUUAUUACUUUACCAGACAAUCUCCUAAGACAUUUAUAUGUAAAAUUCAUUUACUUCACUACAAUACUAUGACCUAGGUUAAUGCUAUUUUUCCCACUUUAAAGGUGAUGAAGUUGAAAUAUGGCUUACUAUCUUGUCCAACAGCUUGUGUGUAGAAGAUUCGAUGUUCAAAUGAAAGCAGUCCAGUGCCAGACUUGACUAAGACUUCUUUGAAGGUUAUCAAGGAAAAAUUUCAAUGUAGACAAACACAAAAUGAACUUCUUAAAGAUAUACUACUUCUAAAUUCUUCACAUUUUCUACAAAGAAAGAAUUCCAAAAGAAAUAGUUGAAUGAAAACUACAAGGAGCAGAAUGAUGAAACACAAAGCCACAAAAGUGAUUAAGCUGUGAGGAAAAACUGGUUCAAGAUAUUUUGAGUCACAUUGGGUAUAGACCUGCUGCCUAGUCAUCUGAUUCAAGAAGUUUUUGUACAACAUUAUGCAAGCAUUUUUGUCCCAUCAACACAAUCUUCACUUGCAUAUCACGUCCAGGAUUACUUUCUUCUAACCACCAGGAUCACACCAUCAAGGGUGAAGUAAUGAAUUAUCUUGAUACAUUCAUUAGGAGAAACUCACCAUAUAUAGCCCACUGGCUUCUUUUUUUCUGUGAAGAUCAGGCUACAUACAUGGAAUUGUGUUUUCUCUUUUGUUCCUAUGCAUUAUAAAAUUUAACUCCAGUUCAUUGUGGCCUCUAUUUUGAUAAGUAAGUCUAUAUAAUUCUGAGUUUUAAUAUUGGGAAUCUCCGAGGUUGUAGAUCAAAAUCAGCUGUUUUUCAUCCUUCAAUUCAUUAAUAUUACCAUUUUUCACACAUUAAUUAUUCAUCAGGCAUCUACUAUGUACAGCACUGUUCUAGAGAUGAAAGAUCCAGAAGUGAACUUCACAGAAAGCGAUAUAUGAAUCUCACUUGAUAUGUGUUAAAGGAGAUAUGUUGGCUCCUCACAUUUUCUUU